AGAGAGAGCCCCCGGAAAAAUUAGGUAAAUUUUGGGGGUAAGGGCUUGUCAAGCAUGUGAUUUGUUGCUGGUAGGAGAGGAAGAUCAGCGACACUGGGACUGAAACGGGGCCCAGACUCUUACGGGAGGCAGCAGUGGGGAAUAUUGGGCAAUGGGGGAAACCCUGAUCCAGCAAUGCCGCGUGAAUGAAGAAGGCCUUAGGGUUGAAAAUUCUUUUUUUCGGGAAGAUAAUGACGGUAGCGGACGAAUAAGCCCUGGCUAACUCUGUGCCAGCAGCCGCGGUAAUACAGAGAGGGCAAGCGUUGUCCGGAAUGACUGGGCGUAAAGCGCGCGCAGGCGGUUUUUUAAGUUGGAUGUGAAAUCCCCGGGCUCAACCUGGGAACUGCAUUCGAUACUGGAAAACUAGAGGCCGAGAGAGGAAAGCGGAAUGACGAGUGUAGAGGUGAAAUUCGUAGAUAUUCGUCGGAACACCAGAGGCGAAGGCGGCUUUCUGGCUCGGACCUGACGCUCAGGCGCGAAAGCGUGGGGAGCAAACAGGAUUAGAUACCCUGGUAGUCCACGCCCUAAACGAUGAGUGCUAGAUGUCGGAUCUUCGGAUUCGGUGUCGAAGCUAACGCAUAAGCACUCCGC
rnacentral:rRNA from 1 species